GCUGGGCACAGUGGUGAACGCCUGUAAUCCCAGCAGCUCAGGAGGCUGAGGCAGGAGGAUCACAAGUUCAAAGCCAGCCUCAGCAACUUAAUUAGCAAGACUCUGUCUCUA
rnacentral:sRNA from 1 species